rnacentral:lncRNA from 1 species
UGUUUGGAUAGAGCUUUGAAAAACAAACAAUUUUGACUUGGGUUUUGUUCUCGUAACAGUUGCAGGUUUCGGGAGGAUCGGGCUUCAAUGUCUGGAUGUUGGCGAUGUGUCGCAUGUGUUCGGGGUGCCUGCUGCCUUCGUGCAGGCAUUGCCGGCAUCGCGUUUUAACAUGGUCUGUAUCGGUAGUCGUUUCAGAAAUACCUAUGUAAGAGUCACAUAAACACAUGUAGCAAAUUAAAUUGUUUGCUGACAUUGUUCAUUAACAGGGUUUGGAGGAAAAGGUGAUUUGCGCGGAAGAAUUAACAGCACAUGUCUGCUACUGUGCAUGCAAUUGGAAAACACAUUUGCAUGUUUGAUUGGAGCAUAAGCUGUACGGUAAUUCUGUUGUUUUCUAUGGCACCAUUUUGUAUUAUUUAUUUGUUUUCAUUUGAUUUGAGCUAUGUUCUAAUGUUACGAAAGUUUACAUCAGAGUCAACAACCAGAAACAUUUACCAUGAGGACCAUUUGAAUUAUCAUAAAAUAAACUCCAAGACUGCUU